GAUGAACGCUAGCGGCAGGCUUAACACAUGCAAGUCGAGGGGUAUUGGUUUUCGGACCAAGAGACCGGCGCACGGGUGCGUAACGCGUAUGCAAUCUACCUUUUGCAGAGGGAUAGCCCCAGAGAAAUUUGGAUUAAUACCUCAUAGUAUAGUACUUUGGCAUCAAGGAACUAUUAAAGUCACAACGGCAAAAGAUGAGCAUGCGUCCCAUUAGCUAGUUGGUAAGGUAACGGCUUACCAAGGCUACGAUGGGUAGGGGUCCUGAGAGGGAGAUCCCCCCACACUGGUACUGAGACACGGACCAGACUCCUACGGGAGGCCAGCAGUGAGGAAUAUUGGACAAUGGGCGCAAGCCCUGAUCCAGCCAUGCCCGCGUGCCAGGG
rnacentral:rRNA from 1 species